CACCUUUGACAUGUACGGAAUCCUUUAGAGAUAGAGGAGUGCUCGAAAGAGAACCGUAACACAGGUGCUGCAUGGCUGUCGUCAGCUCGUGUCGUGAGAUGUUGGGUUAAGUCCCGCAACGAGCGCAACCCUUGCCAUUAGUUGCUACGAAAGGGCACUCUAAUGGGACUGCCGGUGACAAACCGGAGGAAGGUGGGGAUGACGUCAAGUCCUCAUGGCCCUUAUAGGUGGGGCUACA
rnacentral:rRNA from 1 species